AGCCUGAACGCUGGCGGCGUGGCUAAGACAUGCAAGUCGUACGGGGUCCGCAAGGAUCCAGUGGCGAACGGGUGAGUAAAGUAUCGCUAACGUACCCCUAUGUCCGGGAUAGCUGGGGGAAACUCCAGGUAAUACCGGGUGACAUCACUUUCUCGCAUGAGAAGGUGCUCAAAGGGAAACCGCAAAGGGAGCGGGCGAUAUCGUAUCAGCUAGUUGGUGAGGUAACGGCUCACCAAGGCUAUGACGCGUAGCCGGACUGAGAGGUCGGACGGCCACAUUGGGACUGAGACACUGCCCAGACUCCUACGGGGGGCUGCAGUAACGAAUCUUCCGCAAUGCACGCAAGUGUGACGGAGCGACGCCGCGUGUGGGACGAAGUCCUUCGGGAUGUAAACCACUGUCAGGGUUACCAAGUUCUGAGGAACCCCAGAGGAAGGCACGGCUAACUCUGCGCCAGCAGCCGC
rnacentral:rRNA from 1 species